UACGAAGGGUGCAAACGUUGCUCGGAAUUAUUGGGCGUAAAGCGCACGUAGGCGGCCUUGCAAGUCGGAUGUGAAAUCUUAUGGCUUAACCAUAAAAGUGCAUCCGAAACUGCAGUGCUUGAGUACUUAAGAGGAUCGCGGAAUUCCCGGUGUAGAGGUGAAAUUCGUAGAUAUCGGGAGGAACACCGGUGGCGAAGGCGGCGACCUGGGUAGAUACUGACGCUGAGGCGCGAAAGCGUGGGGAGCAAACAGG
rnacentral:rRNA from 1 species